CCUUCGGGUGCUGACGAGUGGCGAACGGGUGAGUAAUACAUCGGAACGUGCCCAGUAAUGGGGGAUAGCUCGGCGAAAGCCGGAUUAAUACCGCAUACGCCCUGAGGGGGAAAGUGGGGGACCGCAAGGCCUCACGUUAUUGGAGCGGCCGAUGGCUGAUUAGCUAGUUGGUAGGGUAAAGGCCUACCAAGGCGACGAUCAGUAGCUGGUCUGAGAGGACGAUCAGCCACACUGGGACUGAGACACGGCCCAGACUCCUACGGGAGGCAGCAGUGGGGAAUUUUGGACAAUGGGGGAAACCCUGAUCCAGCAAUGCCGCGUGUGCGAAGAAGGCCUUCGGGUUGUAAAGCACUUUUGUCAGGGAAGAAAUCCUUUGGGCUAAUACCCUAGGGGGAUGACGGUACCUGAAGAAUAAGCACCGGCUAACUACGUGCCAGCAGCCGCGGUAAUACGUAGGGUGCAAGCGUUAAUCGGAAUUACUGGGCGUAAAGCGUGCGCAGGCGGUUGUGUAAGACAGGUGUGAAAUCCCCGGGCUUAACCUGGGAAUUGCAUUUGUGACUGCACGACUAGAGUGUGUCAGAGGGGGGUGGAAUUCCACGUGUAGCAGUGAAAUGCGUAGAUAUGUGGAGGAACACCAAUGGCGAAGGCAGCCCCCUGGGAUAACACUGACGCUCAUGCACGAAAGCGUGGGGAGCAAACAGGAUUAGAUACCCUGGUAGUCCACGCCCUAAACGAUGUCAACUAGUUGUUGGGGAUUUACUUCCUUGGUAACGUAGCUAACGCGUGAAGUUGACCGCCUGGGGAGUACGGCCGCAAGGUUAAAACUCAAAGGAAUUGACGGGGACCCGCACAAGCGGUGGAUGAUGUGGAUUAAUUCGAUGCAACGCGAAAAACCUUACCUACCCUUGACAUGCAGAGA
rnacentral:rRNA from 1 species